ensembl:processed_transcript BC065397 cDNA sequence BC065397
CAGAUACGUGUGUUGGCCCCUCAGGUUUAUGUAGUGGUUCUGUGCUGUCCGGAGCGAGAAGGCAUACAUCUACAUGUGUGUCUGUGACAUGUGUUCAGAAGUCAGAGGCACUGGGUCCCCCGGAGCUGGAAUUACUGGCUGUUCUGAGACACCUGACAUGGAUGCUGGGAACCUAACUUGGGUCCUGCGGUAGAGCCAUCUCUCCAGCCACAACAGUGAAAGGUUUUCUUAAAGCAGUUCUCCAACUCAGACAAAUCAGAAGCAUCAGUAAAACCCGAGAUGCUUCAUCUACAUGUGUUUCUGUGCAUCCUCUAUGUGCCUCGUGCCCCCUGAGGUCAGAAGAGGACAUAUAGGUGUUCCAGUCUCAGAUCAGAAGCAAACUUUAGAAGUAUCAAGUAGAAGCUGGACAGAUGGCUCAGCAGCCAUGCAUUGAGUUCCCUUUGAAAAUGUGUAGCAACAUUUGGAGUCAUCUAAAACCCACUGAAGUGCCAACAUCUCAACGUCAAAUCCUGUGACAG